GAUGAACGCUGGCGGCGUGCCUAAUACAUGCAAGUCGAACGAGCGAGAGAGAGCUUGCUUUCUCAAGCGAGUGGCGAACGGGUGAGUAACGCGUGAGGAACCUGCCUCAAAGAGGGGGACAACAGUUGGAAACGACUGCUAAUACCGCAUAAGCCCACAGCUCGGCAUCGAGCAGAGGGAAAAGGAGUGAUCCGCUUUGAGAUGGCCUCGCGUCCGAUUAGCUGGUUGGUGAGGUAACGGCCCACCAAGGCGACGAUCGGUAGCCGGACUGAGAGGUUGAACGGCCACAUUGGGACUGAGACACGGCCCAG
rnacentral:rRNA from 1 species